CGCGCACGCCCUCACGCCGCGGCCUCUCCCGUCCCCCACGCCUCCGCGGGCCGGCCUGUCACGCGCUCGCUUCUCCGCCCGCUGGGCUGCUGCUGUCGCCGAGCGCGCACGAGGAGGGCCGGGGAGCUGCGGUCACGUGGGCGGGUCUCGCGCGCCUGCGGAGCCCAACUUUCUGUUUUCCUUUAUCUGCUCCCACUUUUGCGCGGAAGCCCUCGUUCUCCGAGCCCCGGAGGCCGGACGCCAGAUCUGCCUUUGGCUCCGUUUCUGCCCGACCGCUGCCACCACCCUUUCUCCUAGGUAGCGCACCCGCCGUCUGCUGUCACUCCCUCCUGCCUCACGUCGAGGCCAGUGGCUGCGAGAUCAUUCCAGCAGCCGGCACGAGCCUUGGAAGGUGUUUAGUGCCUUUUCUUCAGGUGACUCCCUGCCUCCCGAAGACUGGAAGGAUAACUAGAUGUGUCGAUCGCCGUCUUCCCACCUCUUUCUGGCAUUUUCUGAGCCCUGCAAAGGGCCUUGGUUUGAGGAGAAAGAACUGGAAUUGACGUCUGUCUGAGAUGUGGUAGGAAAGGUUGUUAAUGUCCCCUUUAAUGUGGAUUCCCACCCACGUUACGACCUCGGCAGUGCUUUGGCUCUCUGAAAUUAGAGAAUGAGGAGGAGGGUGAGGUCAUGGUAAAAAUCCCCCUGCACCGGACACUGCGAUGCAGUUUCUUCCCAACAAGGAAGCAGAUAAGCAAACAGAUUGAGAACUGCAGCAGGCAAAUUUUAGGUUUCCUGCCAGACUACAGAGGAUAUGACCAGCAAGAGACUUUUUUCUGUCCUCACGACAGAUUAAGGCCAGGACACCUGAAAGGGCUGCCAGGAGACAAGCGACAAGUGACAGCUGGGUUGGCAAAGUGACUGUAACAAGGACCCAGAAGCCGACUUUUUCAUUCUUGGUAUUGAGCUUCAAGUGGAAAAGCCAAAAGUGGUUUGGAUUGUCUACUUUUGGCAGUGCAACACAAUGCUCCUUGGUUUGGGCUUCAGAAACUUCCUGUGUUAGGGAGUUGGGGUAAAAGGUCAACACUCUGAGAGGCUUGUGAACAAGUUUAAAAAUCAGUGCUAAUCAGUCUGAGUUGGGUUAGUGACUGAGAAGCCUCAUGACUCAAUUCUUCAGUUGCAGUAAACAAUGCCUAUAGUUGGAUUAUCUCUUGCUGGACUGGCCAGGCCCAUGGGGUGGACAUUCUACAAUCUACAAAGUGAGGUAGACUCCCCUCUGGUAUCUGUGGGUUACUAGGAUCAGGAUCACUGGGCAAUGCUUUCAGUCUGAAUGUAUGGCAAAAGUCAACUCUGGUUGGAAGAUCUCCCUGUGGUCUCAACUAAUGUUAGGGAGGCCUGUUCCUAAACCAUGAAAGUACUAGCCACUGCCAAGGACAGGGACAUAGUGCCAGCUCCCAAGCCCUUUUUCUGUUUUUACUCCAGGUGCUAAUCUGAACUCUUCAGCAAAAACAGGAGGGAAGCCUCUAAGUUAGGCUAGUUAACAUCUUCUUCCUAAAGUGUGUUCAACGUAAUGGGAAACAAGGAUGCCUAGGAGGCAGGAAGAUAUUCCUGCCCCACCAGUUCAUGUUGUGACAUGUAGACAGCAGAGAAGCUGCUCAAAGCCCUGCGUGGAACCUUGCUCGGCUCACGUCAAACCUGGCUGCUCUAAUCAGUGUUUCUGAAAGACAUCUUUUGGCACAGCCCAGGGUUUGGCUAUAGCCAUCCUACUUCUUCUAACUGGUGAUCAACACAUCUUGUGAAUUAUAACCGUAAAAGUGGAAGAGAGUUUGGUGGUGCCUUAAAAAGUUAAACAUAAGGGCUGGGAAUGUGACUCAGCAGUUAAGUGCUCCUGUGUUUAAUCCCUAGUACCAAAAAAAUAAAAAUAAAAAGAAGUUCAACAUAGAUGUGACCUAGAAAUUUCACUCCUGAGAUAUAAUAUACACCCCUAAAGAACUGAGGUGUUCAAACAAAACUUGCACAUCCAUGUUCAUGGCAGCACUACUCAAAAUAGUCAAGGGUGAAAAUGACCAGCGGAUGAAUGGUAAACUGAUAUAUCCAUGCAAUGGAAUUAUUCAGUUAUUAAAAAGUAAUGACAUACUGAUACAUGCUACUACAUGAACUUUUUUCCACAUUUUAAAAAAAUUGUUGCAUUAUAGUUGUACAUAAUGAUGGGAUUUGUUGCCAUAUAUUCCUACCUGCACACAAUAUAACAAUAUACUUUGGCCAGUAUCACCCCCCCCCAGCACUUUCCUCUUUCCUCCCUGCUUCUCUCCUCUAGGACCUUUUCCUCUACUGGUCUCCCUUUGUAUGACAUGAACUUUGAAAAUAUUAUGCUAAAUGAGGA
rnacentral:lncRNA from 1 species